rnacentral:rRNA from 1 species
GAUGAACGCAGGCGGCGUGCUUAACACAUGCAAGUCGAACGAAGCGCUUUUAUUUGAUUUCUUCGGAAUGAAGAUUUUAGUGACUGAGUGGCGGACGGGUGAGUAACGCGUGGGUAACCUGCCCCAUACAGGGGGAUAACAGUUAGAAAUGACUGCUAAUACCGCAUAAGACCACAGUACCGCAUGGUACAGGGGUAAAAACUCCGGUGGUAUGAGAUGGACCCGCGUCUGAUUAGGUAGUUGGUGGGGUAACGGCCUACCAAGCCGACGAUCAGUAGCCGACCUGAGAGGGUGACCGGCCACAUUGGGACUGAGACACGGCCCAAACUCCUACGGGAGGCAGCAGUGGGGAAUAUUGCACAAUGGGGGAAACCCUGAUGCAGCGACGCCGCGUGAGCGAUGAAGUAUUUCGGUAUGUAAAGCUCUAUCAGCAGGGAAGAAAAUGACGGUACCUGACUAAGAAGCACCGGCUAAAUACGUGCCAGCCGCCGCGGUAAGAC